UGGGGAAUAUUGCACAAUGGGCGCAAGCCUGAUGCAGCCAUGCCGCGUGUAUGAAGAAGGCCUUCGGGUUGUAAAGUACUUUCAGCGGGGAGGAAGGGAGUAAAGUUAAUACCUUUGCUCAUUGACGUUACCCGCAGAAGAAGCACCGGCUAACUCCGUGCCAGCAGCCGCGGUAAUACGGAGGGUGCAAGCGUUAAUCGGAAUUACUGGGCGUAAAGCGCACGCAGGCGGUUUGUUAAGUCAGAUGUGAAAUCCCCGGGCUCAACCUGGGAACUGCAUCUGAUACUGGCAAGCUUGAGUCUCGUAGAGGGGGGUAGAAUUCCAGGUGUAGCGGUGAAAUGCGUAGAGAUCUGGAGGAAUACCGGUGGCGAAGGCGG
rnacentral:rRNA from 1 species